UACGAAGGGGGCUAGCGUUGCUCGGAAUCACUGGGCGUAAAGCGCACGCAGGCGGUUUGUUAAGUCAGAUGUGAAAUCCCCGGGCUCAACCUGGGAACUGCAUUUGAAACUGGCAAGCUAGAGUCUCGUAGAGGGGGGUAGAAUUCCAGGUGUAGCGGUGAAAUGCGUAGAGAUCUGGAGGAGUACCGGUGGCGAAGGCGGCCCCCUGGACGAAGACUGACGCUCAGGUGCGAAAGCGUGGGGAGCAAACAGG
rnacentral:rRNA from 1 species